rnacentral:rRNA from 1 species
UCCAGACUCCUACGGGAGGCAGCAGUGGGGAAUAUUGCACAAUGGGGGGAACCCUGAUGCAGCGACGCCGCGUGGGUGAAGGAGUACUUCGGUACGUAAAGCCCUAUCAGCAGGAAAGAAAAUGACAGUACCUGACCAAGAAGCCCCGGCUAACUACGUGCCAGCAGCCGCGGUAAUACGUAGGGGGCAAGCGUUAUCCGGAUUUACUGGGUGUAAAGGGAGCGUAGACGGUUAUGUAAGUCUGGAGUGAAAGCCCGGGGCCCAACCCCGGGACUGCUUUGGAAACUGUGUAACUGGAGUACAGGAGGGGCAGGCGGAAUUCCUGGUGUAGCGGUGAAAUGCGUAGAUAUAAGGAGGAACACCGGCGGCGAAGGCGGCCUGCUGGACCGCGACUGACGUUGAGGCUCGAAAGCGUGGGGAGCGAACAGGAUUAGAUACCCCCGUAUCC